rnacentral:rRNA from 1 species
AGAGUUUGAUCCUGGCUCAGAUUGAACGCUGGCGGCAUGCCUAACACAUGCAAGUCGAACGAUGAUUACUAGCUUGCUAGUAUGAUUAGUGGCGGACGGGUGAGUAAUAUAUAGGGAUCUGCCUGUUAGUGGGGGACAACAGCCGGAAACGGCUGCUAAUACCGCAUACGCUCUACGGAGGAAAGUGGGGGACCCUCGGGCCUCACGCUAACAGAUGAACCUAUAUCAGAUUAGCUAGAUGGUGGGGUAAAGGCCUACCAUGGCGACGAUCUGUAGCUGGUUUGAGAGAAUGAUCAGCCACACUGGGACUGAGACACGGCCCAGACUCCUACGGGAGGCAGCAGUGGGGAACAUUGGACAAUGGGCGCAAGCCUGAUCCAGCAAUGCCGCGUGUGUGAAGAAGGCCUUCGGGUUGUAAAGCACUUUAAGUUGGGAGGAAAAGCUUGGGGUUAAUAGCCUUAAGUGUUGACGUUACCAACAGAAUAAGCACCGGCUAACUCCGUGCCAGCAGCCGCGGUAAUACGGAGGGUGCAAGCGUUAUUCGGAAUCACUGGGCGUAAAGGACACGUAGGCGGGAAGCCAAGUCUGAUGUGAAAUCCUAUGGCUCAACCAUAGAACUGCAUUGGAACUGGUUACCUAGAGUAUGGGAGGGGGAGAUGGAAUUAGUGGUUGUAGGGGUAAAAUCCGUAGAUAUCACUAGGAAUACCUAAGCGAAGGCGAUCUCCUGGAACAUUACUGACGCUAAGGUGUGAAAGCGUGGGGAGCAAACGGGAUUAGAUACCCCGGUAGUCCACGCCCUAAACGAUGUUCACUAGUCGUCGGGAUGCUAGUCAUCUCGGUGAUGCACUUAAACAGAUUAAGUGAACCGCCUGGGGAGUACGGUCGCAAGAUUAAAACUCAAAGGAAUAGACGGGGACCCGCACAAGUGGUGGAGCAUGUGGUUUAAUUCGAAGAUACGCGAAGAACCUUACCUAGCCUUGACAUUGAUUGAACACUUUAGAGAUAGAGUGGUGCCCUUCGGGGAACAUGAAAACAGGUGCUGCACGGCUGUCGUCAGCUCGUGUCGUGAGAUGUUGGGUUAAGUCCCGCAACGAGCGCAACCCUCGUCCUUAGUUGCCAGCAGGUUAAGCUGGGCACUUUAAGGAGACUGCCUUCGCAAGGAGGAGGAAGGUGAGGACGACGUCAAGUCAUCAUGGCCCUUAUGGCUAGGGCUACACACGUGCUACAAUGGGGCGUACAGAGAGUUGCGAUACCGCGAGGUGGAGCCAAUCUCAUAAAGCGUCUCUCAGUUCGGAUAGCAGUCUGCAACUCGACUGCUUGAAGCUGGAAUCACUAGUAAUCGUAGAUCAGCAAUGCUACGGUGAAUACGUUCCCGGGUCUCGUACUCACCGCCCGUCACACCAUGGGAGUUGAUUUCACCCGAAAUUGGGAAGCUAACCUUCGGGAGGCUACCACUUACGGUGGAAUUAGCGACUGGGGUGAAGUCGUAACAAGGUAACC